rnacentral:rRNA from 1 species
AUUGAACGCUGGCGGCAGGCUUAACACAUGCAAGUCGAGCGGAGACUUCGGUCUUAGCGGCGAACGGGUGAGUAAUACCUAGGAAUCUGCCUAUUAGUGGGGGAUAACGAAUCGAAAGGUUCGCUAAUACCGCAUACGUCCUACGGGAGAAAGGGGGGGAUCUUCGGACCUCUCGCUAAUAGAUGAGCCUAGGCCGGAUUAGCUAGUUGGUAGGGUAAAGGCCUACCAAGGCGACGAUCUGUAGCUGGUCUGAGAGGAUGGCCAGCCACACUGGAACUGAGACACGGUCCAGACUCCUACGGGAGGCAGCAGUGGGGAAUAUUGGACAAUGGGGGCAACCCUGAUCCAGCCAUGCCGCGUGUGUGAAGAAGGCCUC